rnacentral:rRNA from 1 species
GUGCCAGCCGCCGCGGUAAUACGUAGGGGGCAAGCGUUAUCCGGAUUUACUGGGUGUAAAGGGAGCGCAGACGGCCAAGCAAGUCUGAAGUGAAAUGCAUGGGCUCAACCCAUGAAUUGCUUUGGAAACUGUUAGGCUUGAGUGUCGGAGAGGUAAGCGGAAUUCCUAGUGUAGCGGUGAAAUGCGUAGAUAUUAGGAGGAACACCGGAGGCGAAGGCGGCUUACUGGACGACAACUGACGUUGAGGCUCGAAGGCGUGGGGAGCAAACAGGAUUAG